CAUUACUAGACGUCAAUAAUAAUGUAAAUAGUUAUUAGUUAUAAGUUAUUAUUAGUUGAUUCAUAAUGUCAGGGAAUAUUUCCUAGGAGACAUUACUUGAUUCGGUAAAGCAUUACCGGCACACCGCAAACCUAUUGAAAUCGUGGCAUUACCCUUCUCUCGCAAACCUUAUACUCAGUUUACUGCAUCCUCAGAGAUAAGGAUGAUGUUUGGCAUGGGUUUGACUUUGUAGAUCCUGUUCUCUCAGUAAAGCUUCUGGGAUGAUAAAGCUGCUUUUAGCAACAGGUCUGCAGUUUCCGAGCCUCGACGGUAAGUUCCCUGAGAACAAGGGAUUUCCUACAUAUAUAAAACAUUAAGCUGUCUGAAAUUAGAUUGUUACGAAAGAGGGUGCAUGUCGAAGUUCUGAACAGCCUCAAGAUAUUAAUUCCUUUCCUCUGCGUUUACAAAUAUUUGCAUGAAAUGUAUUGUUUGCUGCGAAAUUCAGUGGGACUUUUAUCAAGAGUUCGUUUAGACCAGUUAUGUCUCGAAACUGGCAAGCAGGUUUAUCUUUAUUUGUCAUAUUUUCCAGAGUAAGCAACACAGAU